rnacentral:rRNA from 1 species
GACGAACGCUGGCGGCGUGCCUAACACAUGCAAGUCGAGCGAAGUGAGUACUACGGUACGAACUUAGCGGCGGACGGGUGAGUAACGCGUGGACAAUCUACCCUGUAGACUGGGAUAACACCUCGAAAGGGGUGCUAAUACCGGAUAAUGUCGAGAAGCGGCAUCGCUUUUCGAAGAAAGGAGGGAAUCCGCUAUAGGAGGAGUCCGCGUCCCAUUAGCUAGUUGGUGAGGGUAACGGCCCACCAAGGCGACGAUGGGUAGCCGGCCUGAGAGGGUGAACGGCCACACUGGAACUGAGACACGGUCCUGACUCUUACGGGAGGCAGCAGUGGGGAAUAUUGUGCAAUGGGGGAAACCCUGACACAGCAACGCCGCGUGAGCGAAGAAGGCCUUCGGGUUGUAAAGCUCAAUAGUAUGGGAAGAUAAUGACGGUACCAUACGAAAGCCCCGGCUAACUACGUGCCAGCCGCCGCAGUAA